ACCUCCGUCAAAAUAAGUGCAACCAUGAGUUUCCGCGCUUAACUUUGAUCGUCCGUCUUAUUUGAAAUUUUUUUAUAAUUAGCAUUUUUGUUGUUAUGAGAUGAUAAAAUAUGAAUAGUACUUUACUCGUGACUUAUGUUUUUAAUUUUUUUCAAAAAAAUUUCAAAUAAGACGAAUGGUCAAAGUUGGGCGUGGAAAACCAUGGCUGCACUUAUUUUGGGACGGAGGGA
rnacentral:pre_miRNA from 1 species